ACCGCGGUGGUCUAGCGGUUAGAACGCUGGCCUUGUAAUCCUGGGGUCUCGGGUUCGAAUCCCGGCGGUG
rnacentral:tRNA from 1 species